GCGGAGGAAAAGAAACUAACAAGGAUUCCCCUAGUAGCGGCGAGCGAAGCGGGAAGAGCUCAAAUUUAUAAUCUGGCACCUUCGGUGUCCGAGUUGUAAUCUCUAGAAAUGUUUUCCGCGUUGGACCGCACACAAGUCUGUUGGAAUACAGCGGCAUAGUGGUGAGACCCCCGUAUAUGGUGCGGACGCCCAGCGCUUUGUGAUACAUUUUCGAAGAGUCGAGUUGUUUGGGAAUGCAGCUCAAAUUGGGUGGUAAAUUCCAUCUAAAGCUAAAUAUUGGCGAGAGACCGAUAGCGAACAAGUACCGUGAGGGAAAGAUGAAAAGCACUUUGGAAAGAGAGUUAACAGUACGUGAAAUUGUUGGAAGGGAAACGCUUGAAGUCAGACUUGCUUGCCGAGCAAUCGGUUUGCAGGCCAGCAUCAGUUUUCCGGGAUGGAUAAUGGUAGAGAGAAGGUAGCAGUUUCGGCUGUGUUAUAGCUCUCUGCUGGAUACAUCUUGGGGGACUGAGGAACGCAGUGUGCCUUUGGCGGGGGUUUCGACCUCUUCACACUUAGGAUGCUGGUGGAAUGGCUUUAAACGACCCGUCUU
rnacentral:rRNA from 1 species